ACUUCUUGAUAAAUAUUUAGGUGUUUCCACGGAUCCGUAACCGGGUAAAUCACAGGUGUCCAUCAUUGCUGGGGUAUGCAGCUGCGUGCAACAAGAAGAGGGAGCACACACGCAUAUAAACAUGGCUUACUAUCUUACAUGCAGCCAGGCACGCACGCACACACACACACACACACACACACACACGAUCUCCUGCACGAAACACAAGCAUGCCACAGAACACCUGACAGGUGCAGGCGUGGUCUGCUGCGAGACACGCUAUCUUGACACGCUAACUCAUUCUUAAAUCUGAGUUACGUGCCUGAGGCUGAGUUCUGAGAAUCUUAGUUUACUCUCUGAAGCCUGUUCGUCUUCCAGUCCUUGUCUCUGGGCACACCCUCUUCCGAUUGUAGGCUGACUUCUGUCAUUCUGUUCAUAAUGGAGCUGCUAAGAGGCCUGAGAAUUGGAGCUUGUCUGAUGAGUAAUGGACUUAUUAGCUGUGUCAAAAGCAUGCCACCAAUCCCAUGAUCAGUAUGUAUUAUCUGCUGUCCUACAGGUGUCUGUUUAAGAAACCACUGGAUGAGGCUCUUUUCAGAAGCACUGAUCCCUCAAUCAAGACCUGGCAUUACAACAGUGGUGGCUAAGUUGACAUUUUUUUUGCUGAGGCAGCUGUCUACACACUGUAAUUGGUCCUGGUGUGUUUGAGAAUUUCUUUGCAGGUCUCUCUGAGGUACACAUGCACACUCUACCUAAUGCACAAAUAAACUGUUACACAGACACAGAAUGUUAUGCAAUGCACAGAAUGGUUUAAUGUGAAAAUAUAUAUUGUCAUGGGUGCAAGACCAUUCGAUUUCCACACUUUCUCACAGCCAGAUUUAUUUACCAUGUCAAUGACAUGCAAAAUUCGAUUCUCCACCGUAGUGUCUCUUGGUAGAUUUAACUUAGAUACAAUAUCACAUCUGUCGAGAAUGCAUAUCAAUGACUGCCAAAAGCUUUUACCUAGCUUCACAGGAAAGUUGCACUUGACUGGCAUCGUUAUGGCAGAAUUGGAUAGAAAAAUCUGAGAGGGCGGAUUAAUGGCAACACGCUGUGUAAACUCCCCUGGCCUGAGGCACUUGGUCUUUGUACACCUUGGCUUCCUCUGUCAUUUACAAGCUGUUCGCAGGCACGCACAGAGCCAAGAGUGUGAAAAACCGGAUGAGCAAGUCCACAGCUCUCUUGUCUUACAGGGAAAAAGAGAGUGUUGCCUGUGGUUGCAGAGUUGCGUGAGGACAACAGCUUUAUCUUUUUAGUCCUAUCGACCUCCUGACCUGGCCUGUGGCAGCAGCACUUUUACAACUUGUUUUCUCUCUUUUUACAUGCUUAGAGGGAUACAAAUUCUCAGUGACAGGCAUAAACAUUUAUGUAUACCAGUGACCAUUUUGAGCAUCUUGACAGAUGCAUAUUUGCACUGUGAGCAGCAACCUGUGCAAAAGAACCUUAGGACCCUAACAGAGGUUGAAAUAAAUUAGGUUCUAGAAAAGACUUUUUAUUUGUGGAGUAAUGCAGACAUUAGUGACAUCAAAAAAGUAGGAAAGGUUGUUGAAGAAAGGCUGCUCAUUUACCAAAAGAAUCUGGCCUGUGUCUAAUCUAUGCUGUAUAUUAACAGCAAAAAAUGUGUAAAGUGAGAGGCAUUCACUCUGAUGUAAAAUCCCCCAGUUACCCACGAAGUGCUGUUCCCCUCAGCUACAGAGAUUUUUGGUGUCUUUCAGUUCAUUGUUUAGAAUUUCUGGCCAACUACAUCACUGUUUUUAUUCUCUCUAACCACCCUUAUCAGUGUUGUUUCCAGCAUCAAUCUACAGUGUGAAACCUUAGACUGUGAUCCGUCCUCUGAGCGUCAUGUUUUGUUUUUGUUUUUUUAUCCGGAGAAUCAGAAACGUCUCUCGUCCACAUGCAGUGUGGAUUAGUCUAAGGUGCUGUAGCCUACUCCAUCUCCGUUGCCAUGGUGGCUCCCGUCCUCAUCGCUAAUGACGUAUUGCUGCUGUUGCCAAUGUUACAUUAGAGUGCUACAGGGAUUAUAAACCAAGGCCAUUUUUAUAAACCAACCUGGAAGUUAGCAUCACAGUGGUUCCCUCGACAUGAUUUCUGAAGCCCAAAUACAAUUGGCACAAGUAAAAAGCUAAAGCUAGGCUAUAAAUGAACUACACCAUGGUCGCACGACUUCAACGUCACCACCACUACGCCUCCAAUAACUUGGAUUAGCUCGUUCACGUCGAAUACAAAAGCCGUUACUGUUAAAAAGUUUAGUAAUAGUUUGCAAAAGCACGAGUAUAAACACAGCGGGACUGUAAAGACUGGUGAGGAGCCUGUAAUUGGUCCAGAAGUCUGAACCGUGCAAAAAAAGAACUGAGACCAUAGUCCGAGGCACCUGCUGUUUUGGACCAAGCUGAAAAGUACUACGGCCUGGACAAAGCAAGGUAACCAGUGGUAAAGACUCCAGUGUCCCGUCAACCUGCAGUACCUGCAAACAUGUAUGUAUAACUUUGUAAAAGAGGCCUAUUGUUGCCAUUGGUUCCAAGGGACACCUCACCAAGUUGGUGGAGCAACACAAAAAUUUAAUGCGAUAUUUGACAGAUCAUCAAGGGGGAAAUUCCGAUUUUAUUUUCCCUCUUCCUUGAAGUUCAUCACUCAUCAGGCCUCAAUCAGGUAAAGGCUUUACUGUCUAGUUUGGAGAGGCUCUGGGGGAAGUAUUGUGUCAAGUAUUAUUGAAGGUGAUAUCAUAAUCAAUGAUCAAAGUACUCCUUUAUUUUUGACUUUCUCAUUUUGAAAGUGACAUUAGAAGCAGUCAUGUUUGUAUAAAUAGUAAAGAAGGAACACUGACUAUGUAAAAUGUUACAAAAUCAUUUUUAUUAUUUCUAUUUACAUAUUUCGAAGAGAAUUUGUAGCUUUAUGACAACCAUGGAGGUACAUUCAUUCUUCAGCUGAUACUAAAUCAUGAAAACCACCACAAAGAAAAAAACACAAGCUCCUGACAGCACCGGUAUGCAAAGAGAGAUAUUCGCACACUGAAGCGGAGGUACACACCUGCUCUGAAGGUGUGUGCGUGACAGCCUUUGCGUGAGUAGAAACUAACAACCUUCACAGUCAUUACACCUGCUUUUAUGUCCAAGAAUUCUUUAAGAGGUAUAUGGCUCUGGGCAAAUUUUUUUUUCCUGUUUUUUUUUUUUUUUUUUUUUUUUUUUCCUUCCAAAGUUCUAUGAAAUGGACAUAGGCAAACACUCACACCAAACACCUCCAGGCCAGUGGCCAACUCUGCAUUCCAGCUGGUCCUGUGCAUCCUGACAUGACCCUCCACUGCUUUACCUGUGCUCAGCUCUCCAUUGGACUGGAUUUGGAUCUAUACAGUAGCACUACUCUUCACUGCCUGUAGUAGCCUAUAAUCUCUUAAAUCUUUCUAAGACCUUAGUAGACUACCUCACUGCAGAAGCUCCCCACUGACUCAUAUCCGGGCUACCACAUCCUUCCUCCUUCCUGCUCCCCUAGUUUUCUCCCAGUAGCUUUGAUUUGAUUCAGCUUGGAUUUUUCUUCUCUUUUUUUCUUGCACAAGUCAGACUCUGAUGGGCCAAUGAGGAGACUAAUUGCAAAAAUGCCUAGAGUGUGAAUCAAAGGUAAAGUACAAUUUUCCAGCUGAAGUUGGGUGACAUUUACAGUUGCCCCGUCUCAAGCUGUGCUGUGCUCACCUGCUGUGAUCUGACACACACUCCUGCAGCCUGAGCGCUCACUGAGAAUGCAGCCGGCUCUCACCUCAGGCGGUCCACACAUGAUCACGGUCACGUUCAUCUUCAAUCAGGUUCAGUUUCAUCCCUGGGGAGCACAGUCACACUCAACACACACGACCUGAAUACACAACAAAGUUUGAACAGCGUUGAUCAGAAUCACUUUAGGUGCUGAGCACAGGAGCAGAUGUUUAUUUAGAAGUGUUGCUGUAGAGAUCAGGUUUUUACAGGUUCAGUACACUGCACUAAAGUUAGUCUGCACUGCCAAGUAAUCCUCAGUUCAUUCAUAUAUAUAUAUGAGAUGAGUUUCCCUUUACCUAUUAACCCACAAUAACAACAGGAUGUCACCAGCAAUGUGUCCAUCAGAACCACACAGACAAUAUUUUAUUCUUGUCAAUAACAAUGUGUCAUAUCACUACACUUUAUAUGUGUGUGUGUGUGUAUAUAUAUAUAUAUAUAUACACACACACACACAUACAUACAUACAUCCAUGUGUGUGUGUGUGUGUGCCUGAAAUUGUGUUUUAUGAGAGAGAGAAUAAAGAAGCUCAGAAAGUGAAGUCAUAGGCAGGCAUUGUAUUGAAGUCAGUGACAUGAAAUUAUUCCUAAUUUUUCCUGCACCCGCUCCAACGAUCCCAGGCGCCACUGUGGAAACACCGCUGCGUGAGAGAAAGGGUGACUAGUUCACCUCCUUGUAUAAGUUCCAGUUUUCGUAACUUGUUUUGCUGUUUGGUGGGUUCUCGCAUGUGUGACUGCUCAGUCCGGCCCCACCACGUUGCAUGACUGCAAUGAAUGAAGCCUGAGUGGCAGAUUGCAUGACUCCAAAGCCCCAAGAUCCUCGCAUUUACAGAAGCUAUAGCGCGCAAAUAUGUGCACCUUCGUGCCCAAGCAUGGGGGGUGGGAGGGAGUCUCGCGUCCUGCGCUCUUUGUUCUGCAAGUUUAAGACCCUUGUGUCUUUUCCAGAGGCUGCUGCCUUCGCGUGACUUGACCAAGCAGAUUUAGGAUUGUCCAGAAGACCGAGACCCUCCCCUCUGGACGGCAGCUCCGCUUCUCACGCAACCUGCAGCACCAGAGGCGCAGCGCCGAGGCGCACGGCGAGAGUCCCCGGAGAGUCAUCACACAGUCCGGGAGGAUCAGCACAGCGCUGAGCCGCGCGGAUUCCGGAAAAUAAACGAACAAUCAAAACUUUUA